rnacentral:rRNA from 1 species
UAGGGAAUCUUCGGCAAUGGGGGGAACCCUGACCGAGCAACGCCGCGUGAGUGAAGAAGGUUUUCGGAUCGUAAAGCUCUGUUGUUAAGGAAGAACGAGUGUGAGAAUGGAAAGUUCAUGCUGUGACGGUACUUAACCAGAAAGGGACGGCUAACUACGUGCCAGCAGCCGCGGUAAUACGUAGGUCCCGAGCGUUGUCCGGAUUUAUUAGGCGUAAAGCGAGCGCAGGCGGUUAGAAAAGUCUGAAGUGAAAGGCAGUGGCUCAACCAUUGUAGGCUUUGGAAACUGUUUAACGUGAGUGCAGAAGGGGAGAGUGGAAUUCCAUGUGUAGCGGUGAAAUGCGUAGAUAUAUGGAGGAACACCGGUGGCGAAAGCGGCUCUCUGGUCUGUAACUGACGCUGAGGCUCGAAAGCGUGGGGAGCGAACAGG